ACACUCCUACGGGAGGCAGCAGUGGGGAAUAUUGGACAAUGGGCGCAAGCCUGAUCCAGCCAUGCCGCGUGAGUGAUGAAGGCCCUAGGGUUGUAAAGCUCUUUCACCGGUGAAGAUAAAGACGGUAACCGGAGAAGAAGCCCCGGCUAACUUCGUGCCAGCAGCCGCGGUAAUACGAAGGGGGCUAGCGUUGUUCGGAUUUACUGGGCGUAAAGCACACGUAGGCGGACUAUUAAGUCAGGGGUGAAAUCCCGGGGCUCAACCCCGGAACUGCCUUUGAUACUGGUAGUCUUGAGUGCGAGAGAGGUGAGUGGAAUUCCGAGUGUAGAGGUGAAAUUCGUAGAUAUUCGGAGGAACACCAGUGGCGAAGGCGGCUCACUGGCUCGAUACUGACGCUGAGGUGCGAAAGCGUGGGGAGCAAACAGGAUUAGAAACCCUUGUAGUCCC
rnacentral:rRNA from 1 species